GCCUAAUACAUGCAAGUCGAGGGGUAGAGAGAGCUUGCUUUCUUGAGACCGGCGCACGGGUGCGUAACGCGUAUGCAACCUACCUUUAUCUGGGGGAUAGCCCGGAGAAAUCCGGAUUAAUACCGCAUAAAAUCACAGAAUAGCAUUAUUUAAUGAUCAAACAUUUAUGGGAUGAAGAUGGGCAUGCGUGUCAUUAGCUAGUUGGCGGGGUAACGGCCCACCAAGGCGACGAUGACUAGGGGAUCUGAGAGGAUGGCCCCCCACACUGGUACUGAGACACGGACCAGACUCCUACGGGAGGCAGCAGUAAGGAAUAUUGGUCAAUGGAGGCAACUCUGAACCAGCCAUGCCGCGUGCAGGAAGACUGCCCUAUGGGUUGUAAACUGCUUUUAUCCGGGAAUAAACCUUUCUACGUGUAGGAAGCUGAAUGUACCGGAAGAAUAAGGAUCGGCUAACUCCGUGCCAGCAGCCGCGGUAAUACGGAGGAUCCAAGCGUUAUCCGGAUUUAUUGGGUUUAAAGGGUGCGUAGGCGGCCUGUUAAGUCAGGGGUGAAAGACGGUAGCUCAACUAUCGCAGUGCCCUUGAUACUGAUGGGCUUGAAUGGACUAGAGGUAGGCGGAAUGAGACAAGUAGCGGUGAAAUGCAUAGAUAUGUCUCAGAACACCGAUUGCGAAGGCAGCUUACUAUGGUCUUAUUGACGCUGAGGCACGAAAGCGUGGGGAUCAAACAGGAUUAGAUACCCUGGUAGUCCACGCCCUAAACGAUGAACACUCGCUGUUGGCGAUACACAGUCAGCGGCUAAGCGAAAGCGUUAAGUGUUCCACCUGGGGAGUACGCCCGCAAGGGUGAAACUCAAAGGAAUUGACGGGGGCCCGCACAAGCGGAGGAGCAUGUGGUUUAAUUCGAUGAUACGCGAGGAACCUUACCCGGGCUUGAAAGUUAGUGAAUGAUCUAGAGAUAGAUCAGUGAGCAAUCACACGAAACUAGGUGCUGCAUGGCUGUCGUCAGCUCGUGCCGUGAGGUGUUGGGUUAAGUCCCGCAACGAGCGCAACCCCUAUGUUUAGUUGCCAGCAUGUAAUGAUGGGGACUCUAAACAGACUGCCUGUGCAAACAGAGAGGAAGGAGGGGACGACGUCAAGUCAUCAUGGCCCUUACGUCCGGGGCUACACACGUGCUACAAUGGAUGGUACAGAGGGCAGCUAGCUGGCAACAGUAUGCGAAUCUCACAAAGCCAUUCACAGUUCGGAUUGGGGCCUGCAACUCGACCCCAUGAAGUUGGAUUCGCUAGUAAUCGCGUAUCAGCAAUGACGCGGUGAAUACGUUCCCGGGCCUUGUACACACCGCCCGUCAAGCCAUGGAAGUUGGGGGUACCUAAAGUAUGUAACCGCAAGGAGCGUCCUAGGGUAAAACCGAUAACUGGGGCUAAGU
rnacentral:rRNA from 1 species